rnacentral:rRNA from 1 species
AUUGAACGCUGGCGGCAUGCCUUACACAUGCAAGUCGAACGGCAGCACGGGUGCUUGCACCUGGUGGCGAGUGGCGAACGGGUGAGUAAUACAUCGGAACAUGUCCUGUAGUGGGGGAUAGCCCGGCGAAAGCCGGAUUAAUACCGCAUACGAUCUACGUAUGAAAGCGGGGGACCUUCGGACCUCGCGCUAUAGGGUUGGCCGAUGGCUGAUUAGCUAGUUGGUGGGGUGAAGGCCUACCAAGGCGACGAUCAGUAGCUGGUCUGAGAGGACGACCGGCCACACUGGGACUGAGACACGGACCAGACUCCUACGGGAGGCAGCAGUGGGGAAUUUUGGACAAUGGGCGAAAGCCUGAUCCAGCAAUGCCGCGUGUGUGAAGAAGGCCUUCGGGUUGUAAAGCACUUUUGUCCGGAAAGAAAUCCUUGGCCCUAAUACGGUCGGGGGAUGACGGUACCGGAAGAAUAAGCACCGGCUAACUACGUG